UUUAACUCCAUUUCUGUAUGAAGCCUAUUUUCCCUCUUUCGGCGUUUAUUAAUUUAUUGGACUUUCCCUUUACAAAUUCGGCAUCCAAAGGGGCUUAUGUACUCUUCAGAAACAAGGAUAAGCAUGUAUAUAGACUAAUCAGCAUUGGCAUUUCAUUUUCUUCAUGUAUUUUUUUUUUUAUAAAAAAAUUGCAACGAUGCUAAGGGUCUGUUUGGUUGGAUGAAAAAUAUUUUUCAGAAAAUGUUUUCCUAAUUUUCCACUGUUUGGACACAAUCUAAUUUGGGAAAAUGAUUUCUACGAGGGAAGGAAAAAAACUUCCUUAUCUAUUAUUCUGAAGUUAUUUUCCUUUCUUAAAAGCACGGCCUCUUCUUAAAAUCACGGCCUAAAGGCAUUCUUCCACUUCAGCAGAUGCCCAUUCUCAACGAUUGAAGACCAUCGAUUGACGACUCAUCGGCGAACCAAUCCUUUUUCGCCGGCAGCGCCUCCAGCUCCGGCGAAGACCCACUUCCUGAGGGUUGAGGAUUCAAUGUGGCUAGUCAGAUGCACAAGCACCUUCAAGCAUUAGGCCCCGUUUACUAAGAACUGGAUCAGCCAUUGGGUUCGUGGCGUUCACUGUUCUUCCCACUUCGUGGGCUCUUACCUUUGCCAUAGGAGUAGAGCAUCUUUUUGGGCAUGCCUGGGAUCAGCUCGUAAUGUACAAUCUUGCUGACAGAUAUGGUUUGACGGGCUGGAUCUAACUUUGUAAAUUUCUCUAGUCCUCAGACUGUAAACUCAACUUCUGUUUGCUGACUAGAUUUAAACCCUGAUGGGUGCAUUUGUUGCUUUUGAGCUCCAUAGAAGGUUGUACUGUAAUUAUUGAUCUGAUAGAUCUAAUAUUUUUUGAAUUGGCUCUUACCAUAGCACAAAUCAAUCAAUUGGCUGCUCAUGUUUCUGUUAGAGAGCACUAUGGCCAUUCAGGCUCUUGACUGAUUCAAA